CCUACGGGAGGCAGCAGUGAGGAAUAUUGGUCAAUGGACGCGAGCCUGAACCAGCCAAGCCGCGUGAAGGAAGACGGCUCUAUGGAUUGUAAACUUCUUUUGUACGGGAGCAAACGCCGCCACGCGUAUCUAUCCGAAAGUACCUGACGAAUAAGCAUCGGCUAACUCCGUGCCAGCAGCCGCGGUAAUACGGAGGAUGCGAGCGUUAUCCGGAUUUAUUGGGUUUAAAGGGUGCGCAGGCGGACGAUUAAGUCAGCGGUAAAAGUGCGGGGCUCAACCCCGUCGAGCCGUUGAAACUGGUUGUCUUGAGAGGGCGAGAGGUAUGCGGAAUGCGUAGUGUAGCGGUGAAAUGCUUAGAUAUUGCGCAGAACUCCGAUUGCGAAGGCAGCAUACCGGCGGUGAACUGACGCUGAGGCACGAAAGCGUGGGUAUCGAACAGGAUUAGAUACCCUAGUAGUC
rnacentral:rRNA from 1 species